UUGUAAUUUGUGGGGUCCAGUGCAAAAUGAAACUGCAGGGCCCCUUAUUCAAAAAACAGGAGGAAAGCUUUUUUCCUUUCUUCUGUGGUCUUCCAUGUCACAGCGGUUUUUAAUUUGUGAUUUAAUGUCAUGCACCCUUCAGGCAUGGGGAUAUAGGCAAGGCGAGUACAGACCCUCACCAGCUUCCGGACCUUCCUGAGGAAGCUGCAGUUUACAGGGAAACCUCUGAGCUCUUUUUGGAGCAAAACUGACUGCAGCUGGCAGCACGCAGUUACUUAGGGUGAUUAACGAAUGCAUUUGAAAAUUCCCUCCUGCUUCAGCCUCAGCCUGUGCCUGAGCUAUGGUCAGUGCAGCAGUGCAUUUCUGUAUAAUCUCUUUUGACAACUGAGAGGGGGGCCAACCCACAAGACUAACCCAAUUACAGCAAAAGAGAGACCUGGCUGCUCCCUGUCGACAAGGUGAACACAAGGGUAUCCCCUUUCGGGGAUGCGGUGCUUCAGGACCAGUGGGCUGCCGGCACGGGAAGUACUUUCCUGCUCCAGCAUCUUGAGAUAUUUUUGCUUUGUGACAAACGGUGGCUGUCACUCCUGGGCUGUGUCAAUUAGGCACAAUCUGCUUGCACCCCCACAGCUGGGCCUGAGAUACUUCAGCACAGGAAGAGAUAUGCAAUGGUCAGCUUGUCCUGGCAGAUGCUAUCCAUGGCAGUGCUUCCCUGCCUGGGCCUGGGGAGAGGCCCUCCUGGGAGAUUCCUCUUCUGGCUGAGCCUGUACCUGGGCCUGUGUGCAGAAAAACCACCUACAAGGACUCCUCAAACUCACAAUAAACAUAGACUGUUCUCAUAGACUCAGCUGGCAGAGAGGAGAAGCAGCGGGACAUCAGGACUAUGGCUGGACGUCAGAGAGAAGCAGCUUAACUUCAGAGGUGCAGCUUGAUGGUGUAACUUAGGAGAAGAAUCUGACUGGAGACGGCCAGACUUCAGAAGAAGAUGACCUACCCCCCCAUCCCCUUUUCAGCUUCCCUUCCCGCUGAGAGCCACUUUUAUUGGCAAUAAAAUCCUCCACAUUUACCACCUUUCAAUGUGUUCAUGUGACUUCAUUAUUCCUGGACACCGGACAAGAGCUCAGGGGCCACAGGUGUGGAUAUGAAA
rnacentral:lncRNA from 1 species